GUGGGGAAUAUUGCACAAUGGGCGCAAGCCUGAUGCAGCGACGCCGCGUGAGGGAUGGAGGCCUUCGGGUUGUGAACCUCUUUCGCCAGUGAAGCAGGCCGCCUCCUUGUGGGGUGGUUGACGGUAGCUGGAUAAGAAGCGCCGGCUAACUACGUGCCAGCAGCCGCGGUAAUACGUAGGGCGCGAGCGUUGUCCGGAAUUAUUGGGCGUAAAGAGCUCGUAGGCGGCUGGUCGCGUCUGCCGUGAAAUCCCCUGGCUUAACUGGGGGCGUGCGGUGGGUACGGGCCGGCUUGAGUGCGGUAGGGGAGACUGGAACUCCUGGUGUAGCGGUGGAAUGCGCAGAUAUCAGGAAGAACACCGGUGGCGAAGGCGGGUCUCUGGGCCGUUACUGACGCUGAGGAGCGAAAGCGUGGGGAGCGAACAGGAUUAGAAACCCGGGUAGUCC
rnacentral:rRNA from 1 species